GACGAACGCUGGCGGCGUGCCUAAUACAUGCAAGUAGAACGCUGAAGCGAGAAGCUUGCUCUUCUUGGAUGAGUUGCGAACGGGUGAGUAACGCGUAGGUAACCUGCCUUGUAGCGGGGGAUAACUAUUGGAAACGAUAGCUAAUACCGCAUAACAAUGGAUGACACAUGUCAUUUAUUUGAAAGGGGCAAUUGCUCCACUACAAGAUGGACCUGCGUUGUAUUAGCUAGUAGGUGAGGUAAUGGCUCACCUAGGCGACGAUACAUAGCCUACCUGAAAGGGUGGUCGGCCAAACUGGGACUUAGACACGGCCCAGAAUCCUACGGGAGGCAGCAGUAGGGAAUCUUCGGCAAAGGGGGCAACCCUGACCGAGGAACGCCGCGGGAGUGGAGGAGGUUUUCGGAUCGGAAAGCUCUGUUGUAAGUCAAGAACGGGUGUGAGAGUGGAAAGUUCACAAUGUGACGGUAGCUGACCAGAAAGGGACGGCUAACUACGUG
rnacentral:rRNA from 1 species